UUGUGGAGACACCUUUGGGGAGUGCUCCAUUUGAAUACCAAUUUCUCUUGAUGUUGGAAAAUAUAUCCCAAAAGCCAAUCGGCAACCUAUUGACGGUUGAGCAACCUUGUAUUGUAAUUAAUUUAUUAAUAAAUAAAAUAUAUUUUUGAUAUUUUCAUCACAAGUUUUCAUCUUCUAAUGAACUCCGUUGUUGUGAUGAAGUCCUUAGAACUAUUUAGGUUCAAUAAAGAGAGGAUUUAUCGA
rnacentral:lncRNA from 1 species